GAUGAACGCUAGCGGCAGGCCUAAUACAUGCAUGUCGAACGGUGUCUUCGGACAUAGUGGCGCACGGGUGCGUAACACGUAUGCAACCUACCUUACAUUGGGGGAUAGCCUUUCGAAAGGGAGAUUAAUACCGCAUAAGACAGUAGCUGGGCAUCCAGCAGCUGUUAAAGAUUUAUCGAUGUAAGCUGGGCAUGCGUCCAAUUAGCUAGUUGGUGAGGUAACGGCUCACCAAGGCAAUGAUUGGUAGGGGAACUGAGAGGUCAAUCCCCCACACUGGCACUGAGAUACGGGCCAGACUCCUACGGGAGGCAGCAGUAGGGAAUAUUGGGCAAUGGACGCAAGUCUGACCCAGCCAUGCCGCGUGCAGGAUGAAGGCGUUAUGCGUUGUAAACUGCUUUUAUACAGGAAGAAACGACUCUUGCGAGAGGCAUUGACGGUACUGUAUGAAUAAGCACCGGCCAACUCCGUGCCAGCAGCCGCCGUAACAC
rnacentral:rRNA from 1 species